rnacentral:sRNA from 1 species
GAAGGCCAUGGUCUCCCCACGGAUGUCCCGGCUCCUCUCCCAGACUGUGAUCCUAGCGCUCAUUUUCCUCCCCCAGGUCAGAGCCAAGCACGGCCCGCUGGCGUCUUCGAGCUGCAGAUCAACUCUUUCGGGCCGGGUCCAGGCCCUGGGGCCCCGCGGUCCCCCUGCAGGGUCCGGGUCCCCUGCCGCCUCUUCUUCAGAGUCUGCCUGAAGCCUGGGCUCUCGGAGGAGGCCGCCGAGUCCCCGUGCGCCCUGGGCGCGGCACUGAGUGCGCGCGGACCCGUCUACACCGAGCAGCCCGGAGCGCCCGCGCCUGAUCUCCCACUGCCCGACGGCCUCUUGCAGGUGCCCUUCCGGGACGCCUGGCC